UCCGCCAUUGCUCGCAUGGGCCAAAUGGGCCAUUUGGCUGCAGGCUGUGCUGACUUCCCCAUCCCUCCGGUGACUGCACGUAUCCUCUCCUGCCACUUGCCUGACUCCUCUGCUUGUCCUCCCUGUCCUGUUGUGGUGACCACACCUGCUGCUUGGCAUGUUAGAGUUUGCCUGAGCCUGAGUGUGCUGGAGACCAUGCACAAGGCCAUCAGUGUGUGCGUGUUGUGACCUAACCAUGGCGGUGGAAUCUCGUGGGUCUCUUCACCCAGAGGACACACAAGGAGAUGGGAAAGGCUGUUUGCGGGACUGGCUUCAUUUGAGAGCAUGAGGGCAGUGACAGCAGGAGCCCUAAGCUCACAGAGUCCUCAUGCCAAGUCAGGUGUAGCCUCACCUGAGUCUGCAGACCCCUGAGUUGGUGCCCUUCUUCCCAGGUUACACAUGAGGAGCUGAGGUUGCAGUGGCUGCAGCCAGAGCUCACAGAGCAGGGCUUUAACCUGGGUAGCCAGACAAUCUCUGGCACAGUACUCAGGAUUGUAGGUGGAAAGGAGUUACACCAAAUCCUUGUGUUCUAGACAAGGAAACAGAGGCAAUGGAAGGGAAGCCACUUAGCCAGUAUAUCACUUAGCUUCCGAUGGGACUAGCAUCCUCAGUGUCCUAGGAGCCUGGCAAUUUUGGCUCCUUCUGCUUCUGAGUGACCUCUGAAUGAGCCAGCCUAGCCCAGUUCUAGCACUUCUGACCGACUGUCAGACUAUAGCUUUCUUUUCCUUUUUCUAUUUUUGCACGUGUGUGUGUGUGUGUGUCUGUGUGUGUCUGUGUGUGUGUGUGUGUGUCUGUGUGUGUGUGUGUCUGUGUGUGUGUGUCUGUGUGUGUGUGUGUCUGUGUGUGUGUGUCUGUGUGUCUGCGUCUGUGUGUCUGUGUCUGUGUGUCUGUGUGUGUGUCUGUGUGUGUGUGUGUGUCUGUAUCUGUGUGUGUCUGUGUGUGUGUGUGUCUGUAUCUGUGUGUGUCUGUGUCUGUGUGUGUGUGUGUCUGUGUGUCUGUGUCUGUGUGUGUCUGUGUUUGUGUGUCUAUGUCUGUGUGUGUGUGUCUGUGUGUGUGUGUCUGUGUGUCUGUGUCUGUGUGUCUGUGUCUGUGUGUCUGUGUCUGUGUGUCUGUGUGUGCGCACAGGUUACAUGCAUGUUCAUGUGGAUGCAUGUUUGUGUGUAUGUAUGAGGGUCCUCAUGCGUGUGUGUGCAUGCACGUAUGUUGGGCUCUGAAGUUGGUGUUGGGAACAAUCCUCAAUGGCCCUUCUUCCAUACUCCCUGAGGCAGGGUCUCUCAAACGCAGGCUUGCCUUUGAGGAUGCUGCCUCUCCCUUCUGGGAUUGAGAUUCCCACCCAGCGCUUAAGUGGGUUCUGGAGAUCCACACUCUGGUCCUUCUGGUUGUACAGCAAGACCUUUAACCACUGAGCAAUCUCCUCUUCAUCUAGUGCUGCCCAGUACACGCCUGGCCAAGAGGGAGAGGACAGAGCUUCUGUGUUAGAGAGGAGCCUGAACCAGCCAACCUGGGAGGCUUGAUGGGGCCAAAUGUGAGCUGCUCUUCUUUUUCUGGGCUUCAGGACUGGCUUCUGGUCCCUCUGUUCCCAUCCUCAAAGGUGUGAAGGCAUGCCCACUCAUAGCCUUCCCUUUAGAACAGAGGGACUUGGCCGUGGCCCUCAGGGCAUCCUAUAAGGACAUGACUUGUUCCCGGGGUGUCAUAGGUGGUGACUUUAAACCUCACUGGGAGCCUUGAGGCAGGGACCUUAAUUAUAGUGGUGUGGGUUUCUGUUGUCCGAAGAGCAGCAUUUGACACAUGUAUGCCUGUAGGACAGGGAGUGCACGACCGUCCAACUUCUCUAAGAGCAAAGGAGGUAAUAUCCGUGUCAGGGCUAUUCAGAAGCAAUAGAGGACAGGCAAGCUUCGUGAAGCCAUCCCAGUGGGUAAGGGCUCUUGCCAUCAAGCAAGAUGUCUUAGUCACUGUUCUAUUGCUGUGAAGAGACACAGCCACCAAGGCACUCUUUCAAAAGAAAGCAUUUAAUUGGGGGCUGGCUUACAGUUUCAGAGGCUUAGUCCAUUGUCAACACGGCAGCAGGCUGGUGUGGUGCUGCAGAAGUAGCUAAGAGCUACAUCUUUAUCUGCAAGCAGAGAGGGACUGGGCCCAGCAUGGACUUUUGAAAUCUCAAAGCCCACCCUCUGUAACACACUUCCUCUGACAAGGCCACACCUCCGGAUCCUAAUAAUCCACUUGCUGGCGACUAGGCACUUAAAUGUAUGAACCUAUUGGGGCUGUGCUCACUCAGGCCACCAUGCCUGGACUCCUGAGUUAGACCCUGGGACUCACACAGUGAGAGGAGAGAGCUAGCCUCUGACAGGUGUCCUCUGGCCUUCAUGCCGUGUGCACAGAAAUGAAUAGAUGUAGGGAGACACCCCAAACAAUGGAGAAAUACAUUUGCUCAUUAAAACAGAAGAAGAAAAUGCCUUCAUGAGAAGGCCUGCCAUUUCUGAGAUUCUGUCCCUUGCUUUCUCUCCAGUCGCUGUCCUUUCUGUAAGCAUGAACCCCAACAUGGCACUUGGGGCAGGCUAAGUGACCCCUCCCUGCGUAAGCAUCUCCCUGGGUCCUCCCCAGGCUCACCUGGAGCCUUUAUGGUCGGUGUGUUCACCCUAUUCUGUUCACUCAGUGGGCUCCUUCCUCCUGGGCCUCUGGCCCACAUCCCACUAAGAACUAUGAUUUGCCAGCAGUUAUUAAGUAGGCACCUGUUAGGGAUGCCAAGGGUGAACGGCUAGGUCAGUUCCCUUGUGUGAAUGGUGGGCAAGUCAGCGGAGCCUGCCUUAUGUGUCAUGGCUCCAGCGAAGCAGCGUUCUGGAAGUUGCCAGAACUGGGGGCAUGAGCCCUCUGGUGCCUUUCCUUCCUGUCCAGUCUUAGUCAGUCUCACCAGCAGUGAAGUCUGCUGUCUCUAAAAAGCAGAAACUAGAAACCUACAGAGAAGGCUGGUUGAUAGCUUAAAGCCAUGGACUCUGCAUGGCCAUAGUGGCCACAAGGCUGACCCCAGGCCUGUUCCAUGAGAGACUCUGUCCUGAACAUUUAAGGGGGCAGUUUGUGAAGAAUGGACUGUUGUUGCUGUUGCUGCUGCUGCUGCUGCUGCUGCUACUGCCACUGAGCAGCUCCCCUUCUAGUGUGAGUGGAACACCUCAGGAGUCCUAUGGUCUAGUGUGAGCGGAAUGCCUCAGGUGUCCUAUGGUCUAGUGUGAGUGGAACACUUCAGGUGUCCCAUGGUCUAGUGUGAGCGGAACACCUCAGGGUCCUAUGAUCUCACAAGUCCAGGCUGCAAUAGCUCUGUCAGGUCAUACUCUGAGCAGCAUGAUCCCCAUAUGAGCCCAGCUUUCUCUGACUCCAGCUUUGGGCUCGUCCCUUUGUAUAAGAGGUACCAGUGGGAGCCACUGUGGGAGAGGGACUGCCUGACUGUAGAGUCUUUCCGGUUGAGUUUGGAAUGGACCAUUGCUAGCUACAAACAAGGGGAAGAAAGCCCAGGGAAGUGGGCGACGGCCAUAUGGAGAGGGGCCAGCUGUCCCCCUGAGAGAGCGAGCACUGGGAACAGAGCUGGCAGAGAAGCUCAGGUAUCUUGGUUGGUGUCCCUGAGGCUUAGACAAGGGUUGCCCCACCAUAGAGUGAUCCCUGGUCUGCUUCCUGCUUCAGAGGUCUAAGUCCAAGACCUCUGUGGGCCCAGGGAACAAAAAAAAAGCUGCCCUCUUUUCUGAGUGUCUAGGCCCUGAGGUUUUAACUAGCUCUAAGAUUCUUCAAGGCCUGUUCUUGGCAUCUUGGGCCUGCGGUGGUUAGGCACCAGAAGGCUGAGUGCCGUUUGGCAUCCGUCCCUUCUCUUCAAGCCUGUCCCUUCCAUUUUUCUGGUCUCUCAAUGUGCUGAUGAUGGAGAUGCCUGCCUCUCCAGACAUGCAUGUGUCUUAGGCCCUCCAGACCUCAGCUAUUGCUUCCUAAUUUGGGAAUCACUGUUGCUCCGUCUAUGACCUGGGGAUGGGUUUGGAGGAAUCUCUCAGGAUCAGCACUGCCCUGUGUUUCAGCCAAACUGGCUCCAUUUCUCCUGCCCAGAUUUGGGCAGGCCAGCGCAUUAGCUCUGAAGAAAUGUGACCUUCGUUCACCUGCAGUGAACUCUGGGGGCGGAGGGAUACAAAUUAAGCAGUUAUGAGGGCCCUGGUGCCUGAGGCAGCCCACUUCCUCCUCAGGACUUAGGUGUGCUGAUGGUGUUUCUAUUCACUUUCUGCAGUACCGUCAAUCCUAAGAUACCCUGUUCUCAUCAGGGCUUUAUGGCUUAUUAAGCUGUUCCUGGGAAUAUGGUAGCAUAUCUGGUUUUAUGCGGCUGUGUUUUAUGGCAGGAACUAGGUGUUGGCAUUGGCUUCUUUCCCAAGGUGUAGGCUGUCUGGCCUGUGGGAAGGGAUGUGGGAAAGGGAUGCUGCUGCCUUGGCUCCAGGCUGUGGGCCCCAGAGUGAGGGCUGGCUUCCAGCUAGAGAGAGGAAUCUGAGGAGGAGGCUGGGUUUGUUCACUGUCCACUCACCUACAGUAAACUAAACGCCCACCGUGCUGAGAGACAGCAAACGGGCUAAAGACGCACCUUCUACUGCCUGUGGCACUGAAGGCAAGAUGGCCACCGCGUAGGAGGGAAGCUUUGGGCUGGGGAGGCAGAAGGUAUGUGGCAACCCUCCUUUUUGUUACUUUUCUCAGUACUGUAACCAAAUAGCUGACAGAAGCCUCCUAAGGGAGGAGAGGUUUCCUUCAGCCCUGGUAGGAGAGGGUGCAGUCUAUCACGGUGGGAAGAGAAGUAUGGCAGAGUAGCUUGCUGGUGUCUUAGCCAGGCUUUUACUGCUGUGAGCAGACACCAUAACAAGGCAACUCUUAUAAGGGCAACAUUUAAUUGGAGGGCGUACAGGGUUAGAGGUUCAGUCCAUUAUCAUCAAGGCAGAAACAUGGCAGCAUCCAGGCAGGCAUGGUGCAGGAGGAGCUGAGAGUUCUACAUCUUCAUCUGAAGACUGCUAGCAGAAGACUGGCUUCCGGGCAGCUAGGAUGAGGGUCUUAAAACCCAUGCCCACAGUGACACACCCACUCCAACAUGGCCACACCUUCAAAUAGUGCCACUUCCUGAGCCAAGCAUUCAGACCACCACAGCUGGUGACAAAUGCUUACUUCUCACACUGGCUGACCUAGGAGUAGAGAACUGGACAAGAAUUGAGGCCAGGCUGUAACCCUAAGACCCACCCUAGAGGUCUGCUUCUGGCAGCUAGACCUUUGUAACAGUUCGCCAACCUCCUGAGAUGGCACCACCAGCUAUCGAGUGUCCGCUCGCAGGAGCCUGCGUGGGACAUUCCACGUUUAGCCCAUAACACCUCUCCUCUGUUACUGAAGACCACCCUAGCUGGGGCGUGGGCUGUAGGUAGGGUUUGGGGAGGGCAGUUUUGGACAGGCCUCCAGCAGGGCAGACAGCUAUAGCUCAGCCAUGAGACACUUGUGGGAGGUGAGAGAAGAACCUGGGAUGCGGAGAGCCUUGGUGGGCGCUGGGGCAAAGGAAGACACCGGAAGACUGGGCUGAAGGCAGAGCAGAGCACUGAGGGCACAGGACUGGCAUCUGCUCUCUGCUCAGCGGUUUUCACCUCGGCUCUCGGAACGUGUCUGUUCUCCCCGAGUUAGCCCCCUUCACCCGUGAGCCCGGAGUGCUUACCGGGAGGUCAUUGUGAGCACCUGUAGCAAAGCAUUUUCUUUAUAACACUGGGUUUAGGGGAAGGCCUCAUUCCAAGCUAGGUUUUAUUAGUAAUCCCCCCUUUGUUUGCGAAAACAAAGACUCCGGUCUCUGGGAACAUUUUGAGAUAUAUCCUCCUAGUCACUUUUUCUUACAGACUUAUCUGGACUUUUGAAAAUUAAAAGUUUAAGUCCAUACGUUGUGCUUUGAACCCGCUGUAAAAGCUAAGAAUUCCCAAGGUGCAGUGGGGCACCUGCGAUCCCAGGUGCUGCAGAGACCGCAGCAGAACUGCAGACUUGGUUAUCACAGAGACCGUGCUUUAAUUCUUUUUAAUAUUUAAAAAUAACUUUGAAAAAUUUUUCCUGGGAAGAUGUCUCAGUGGUUAAGAGCAUUUCCCGCUCUUGCAGAGGUCCUGGAUUCUGUUCCAAGCAUUCACACUGUGGUCCACAAACACCUGUCACUCCCUACCCAGGGCCUGUGAUGCCCUCUUCUGGUGUUCACAAGCUCCAGGUAUGCAGGCGAAACACUCGUACACAUAAAAUAAAAUAAAAUAAAAUAAAAUAAAAUAAAAUAAAAUAAAAUCUUUAAAAGGUAAUAAUAGGGCUGGGAAUGUAACUCAGGCAGUAAAGUGCUUAUCUAGUAUAUCUGGUGUGUAGAAAGGCUUGGGUUUGUUCCCCAGCACCACAUAAGGCUGGCCAUGGUCGCAUAUCUUGUAAUCCCAACACUUAGAAGGUGGAGCCAGGAGGACCAGAGGUUCAUCGGCAUCCCUGAAGCUAGCCUGGGCUACACAAGGCCAAAAGACAAUAUAAAAAUUAUGUUCUCUCUCUCUCUCUCUCUCUCUCUCUCUCUCUCUCUCUCUCUCCACACACACACACACACACACACACACACACACACACACACACGCGGUAGUUUAUGUAUUUAGCGAUAGAGUCAUGCUUAGCCAGACCAUGGGUUUAAUUUCCAGAACCAAAUCUAUGUAAUGAAGAAUCCAAAGGCUGCACAGGUUUGUGAUGCCAGCAUUUGGGUGGUAGAGGCAAGAGGCUUGGGGGCUCAAGGCCGUCCUCAGCUGUAUAACAAGAUGGAGUUUGGGAGACUGAGACGAUGAGAAGCCAAAGCAUACACUACGACGUUGGUUAGGCAGUGCCGUGCAGUCAUUCUCUAGACUAGAACUCUUUCCUGUAAAAUGGAUACUCUGUGUUCGUUAAACAGUACUUCCUCUUUGCAUGCCGGUCCCCCUGGUGACCAUGCUUGUACUUUACUCUCUGAAUUUGAAUCUGGUUCCUUAGCGUUGCACAGUGUUUACCUUUUUGUCCAUCUGUUGGUGGUGCACAGUCCCCUGUCAAUGGAUACUUGGGGCAUUUCCCCCUAUGGGCUGUUAGAAGAGAUAGGGCUGUGAGUCUGGGUAUAGAAGCCUCCUCAGUUCAGUUCUUGGAGCACAUGGAGCUGACCCUGGAGCUUGUGAUGCUACCGCUAACUAGCUGUGCCGUGCCGUGCUGUGCUGUGCCGUGCCGUGCCGUGCCGUGCCGUGCCGUGCCGUGCCGUGCUGUGCCGUGCUGUGCUGUGCCGUUCUCUGUCCACUCCUGUUCCCACAGCUGCCCACUUUUGAGUGUGAUCUGUGACAACCAUUGCCCACCAGACCUUUAGGGUUAAGAAUACAUUGUGUUUCCUUCCUCCUUUCCCCUGCCAUGCAGGGUGCCUGUGCUUGGUAAACACAAGGCUAAUGGUCUUCUGUAGCUUCUGUGGUUACUCUUUCCCUGGGGGGUGGGGGUGAUUGGGGUCUGCUACCUUUUGGGGAAGGGAAUUUCUUAGGAAGCCUCCUGUCUGUCUGUAUCUAGGGCCCAGGGCUUCUGGGGCAGGCCUUGUUGGAAGGCCUGCUACAGCGGUGGAUGAGUCAGCCUGCACUGAAGGAGCCAGGACCACGCGCUGAGCCCAGGGCAGGACCUGAAAAAUACAGGGUUGCUUUGAAAGGGGCCUUUCCUAGUUGGUUUUGUGUGUUUUCACAGGAAGUUCCCUUCUGCCAAUGUGACACAGGAAGCAGUGCCUGGCACUUCCUGGGUGUUACUGGCUUUCUGCCCAGAGCACAAGGUUGGUUCACAACUGCCAGGAACCUUGGAGGUGGGGCUCAGUCCUCCACUUGGACCUGGUGCUGUGCUGUUACUUGGCCUCUUGUGUAGAGGAUUCUUGGGAGAAGGGGAGAACUCUCAGGGUUGGUGUAGGUUUCCAAACAUUGUGGGCAGGAAGUGGGUCUUCUUAGCAGUUAGACCCAAGGAUUUCAUGCUCUGGGAACCUGUGUGGUCUUAAGCAUGUUGGAAGUUAUCUUACAGGCUCAGAAGAGAAAUGACUCAGUGGUACAGAGCACUGACUGCUCUUCCAGAGGAUCACAUCCAAUUUCCAGCACCCACUUGGUGGCUCACAACCAUCGGAAACUACAGUCCUGGGGCACUGCAGGUGUCAGCUGCUAUGUGGGAGCUGGGAUUUGAACCUGGGACCUCUGAAAGAGCAACCAGUGCUCUUAAGCUCUGAACCAUCUUUCUAGCCCUGACUAUUAUAAUUUCUAAGAAAUUAAUCUCUCUCUGUGUGUGUAUUCUUGAGUCCCUUGUGUGCAUGUGUGUACUGUGUGGCUACACACGUGUGUUCUGUGGAUGCAUGUGCAUGUCAGAGUCUUGGGGUCUUAUCCUCAGAGGCCAUCCACAUUUUUUGAGACAAAGGUCUGGGGCUCAGCAAGCAAGCCUGGCUGUGGAGAAGAAGGCCUCCGGGAUCUGCUGUAGUUUGUUAGUUGAGUUCUUCAAGAAGCGUUUUUAAUGGAGGGAGGAGGCUCUCCCUGUCAGGCACCACAGUCAGCAUGCCGGACUUCACUCAUUUCUGUGUGCUCUUUUCCAUGUUCUUUCUAAGCAACAGGCUUUGAAUUGUCACUGGGCUGGAAAGGUCAAUCAUAAAUAGCAUGGUGGCAAUGCAAGGAGACGUGGGGCACAGAAGGCUGGGGCACAGGAGGCUGGGACACAGGAGAUUAGGAGCGCUGGUAGAGCUCUCUGCCAUGGACGUGCCAGUCUGGGUUUCAUCGCAGAACCACACAGACAACCGAACACUAAGUGAAUCUGCUGAGUCAGAGGGAAGGGAAGGGGGUUAGUUGCUUUCUCCCUUGCUGAGACAGAUCCCCGAUAAAGGCAACUCCAGGAAGACAGGGUUUAUUUCAGCUUAAGGUUGGAGCAGAAAUCCCUGGAGGCAGGGGAAGGCAUUGCUGGUCCCGGAACCUUCCCGUCAGGAAACAGCAGUGAAUACUGUCCCAGAACCACAGCGUACAACAGUCUGCUCACAUCUGAGGUGGGUCUUUCUACCUCAGUUUACCCAGUCCGGAAUAUCCAUUUUACAGACAUGCUCAAUGUGUUAUCAACUUGCCCAUCUAUACUAAACGUCGAAGAAAGUCUCAGGGAAGAGGUAGUUUUAGUUUUGAGCCUACUAAGAACAAUGGUUUUACAAUUCUUGGAAAAACAGGGUGGCAAGCUUCAAAUGGGAGCAGGGAGUGGGGAGUGGGGAGCAGGGAGCAGAGAAUGGGGACCGCUGUAGCACAGAGAACGUGGAGGCCCCAGGCCUGUGUCCUCAGUUGGCCCUUGCAGGAGCCAGACCACGGGAGGCUUGAGCCAGCAGCCUGACCAGAAGUGUGCAGAGGGGAGUCAACUAUAGCACGUCUCUGGGACCUCAGGACUGCGGCCUUGGAGCAGAUCCACUCUGUAUCUCCCGGAAUCAGCCAUGCCACCUGCAGUGUCUUCUGGGCUGGUCUUCUUGAACAGCUCUGUCCUUGCAUGGUGACAAGCAGCACACACCUGGGAAAGAGGCUUGGGCAGCUGUGGAAGAGGUCAUGGAGCCUGCUUCCUGCUUUCUCUCUUUCUUCCUCCUUCCUGGUCCUCCAGAGUGAGGAGCCUUCUGCUCUUCACAGUGAGUCACUUGGCAAGCACCAUGUUGACACUCAGUGACCUGGGUAACUGGGGUUUGUGUUGAGCAAUGGCCUUCCCUUUCUCCCUAUCUCCCCUAGGCUGAGGUUCCCAGCCUGCCUUGGGACAUGGUCCUACUCCAGCCUGACAAGUAAUGCAAGGUCACUGAAUCUGUCAUGUUCGUAUCUAGCCAAGAAAAACAAUGCUAAUUCCUUUCCUUGUGUUUGCAGAGCACUUUGUACUCUGUCAGCCAUGACUGGGCUCCUUUCUCACCCAGACAGCCUGUGCUUCUCUGCUACCUACUCUGUGCCAGGUGGGGGGCUAGAGGGAGCCUACAGCCUACUGGGGAGUCAGACGGAGAACGAGUAUGAAACAGCAAGGCAUGGGAAAGAUAACCAGGGUGAGAUUUGUUCUAGAAGGACCUCCUAGGAGAGGUGGCGUCCAGUUGGUCAGAAGGUGAUUGGUAACCUUGUGGACUUGGUGGGGUGGCAAAGUCCAGGUGAGAACAGCUCAGGCAAGCUGAGAUAGCAUCUAGAGCAGACAGGAAGUGGGAUGGAUGAAGUAGGUGUGGUAAAAAAAGAGACUUGAGAGGUAAUCUAGAUAGGUCUCAGAGGUGUGAUGUGAAACACCCUGAGUUUAAGCCUCCUCUGUAGCAGGGACUUGGAAGGUCCCCUGGAAGCAGUGUGCAGUUGGGAUUAGAAUGAAGUGAGGCUAUGGUGUCCACUCACUGGAGAGAUGCAGCCUGGAAAAGGGGUGGACAGUUAGCUGGUUGUUGAGGCUUAGAGGACUGUGUUCCUAACCACUGAAGAAGCGUUUGUUACGUACGAGGGCCACAAAGGCGAGAGACACAUUGGUUCUGCUCAAGGGGAAACUCUUGUCCCAAGGCUGGCAUUCUCUAGUUAGGUCUCUGUUAGCUGCAAGCAACAGACUGACUUGGACAAAAACAGGGGAGGGGCAGGAGAGAGAGGGAGGGGGAGGGAGGGAGGGAGGCAGGGGGAGGGAGGAGCAGGAAGGAAGAUGAAGAAGGAUUCAGCAUGCAUGUGGGUGGGUGGGUGGAAGCUGGCUCAUGCGUGGACCUUUCAAAUGGUAGCGCUUCAGGGAAAGCAGCAUUCUGGAGUUCCGGCACUGUGCUUUGGACUGUCUUUUCAGGCCAUGUCUGAUCAUCGUCCUGUGUGGACUUUCUCUCCCCUACCUCUGACAUGGCCACCAAUGCUUUUCCUUCUUUGUCCUUCACAGAUUGCUUCAUUAACUUUUGUUUGGCCCUGGGAGCUGUCUGCUUAUGGUUUUAAAUACAUUUUAACUAUAAUAAAGAAAAUUACAUGAUUUCCAUUUUAA